rnacentral:tRNA from 1 species
GCGGGGGUAGCUCAGCCGGAUAGAGCAACGGUUUUCUAAACCGUCGGUCACGGGUUCGAGUCCCGUCCCCCGCGCCA